CAAUGCCGCAAUAUAUCGUUAUUUCUUUCGAUGAAAAUUUACUAAUCUCCAAAACAAUACAUUGUUCGUUUUUUUAAAGAAAACAACGUAAUUCUACGCAUGCAAACCCACACGAUUCCGCCCCGGGGUACGAGGACAAGCGGGUGCUAAUUGGGAACCACACGUCUUAAUAGAUUACUUUUAAUUAAAACUUGCGCCAAAGUGAUCGGCAAUUUAAAUUCGUCCACGGCGAUAAGAACAUGUAAGGGACAUGCACGGUCCUUGUGGUGUGUUUUGACAACACCCGGUCCUGCUGUGCCGACAGUAGAUAUAUAAGUUAAGUCUUAAACUUUCUCAUUCGCAGCCAAGGAAAAUCUCUGGAAAGAUAUGGCUGCCGAUGUCAAUAUCAAAACCAGCGCCCCAUAUUAAAGGACACAAGGACCACCUAUUUUCACAUAAGACCUACGACCCCCAACCAUUUUUCUGAGACCGAUCGAUGGUUCCUUGUAUACAUGUAAGAUGCAUCUGGUUCAGAACUAACCACUGUCUGUAUGUCUCAUCCAAUGCUGGUCCUGUUCAAUCCCCUGUCCAUCACAGGGACCACUCACCGAAUCUCCCCAGAGACACUGAGUGACACUCGAUGUGACUGAACGAUGGUCCCUGCACGAACUGAUGUCAGAUAACACUUGGAACACUCGACUAACUGUCACGUAAAGUGCUUCAUUGACUCCGUCCAUAUAACUGUAUAACGCCGUCCGUCAACUAGUGCUCCUCCUUACCGUCCACAGUAUUAUGUUUUGUUUUGGUUUUUUGUUUGGUUGUUUUAUUUUAUUUAUAUUUAUUUAUUUUCAAUCGUUGAGUUUAAUAUUUUGAACUUUAAUUUUUGACAUUUUGAUUUAUUACGUUUGUAAUUCUACAUGGGUUUUCAGUGCUUUGUAGCUUUACUUAGAUUCCAUGUAUGCUUAAUACCAGUAUAUCCCACAUUUAUGUAAUGCUAGUGAUAAGCAACAAAGCAAACCAUUUUUGAUAAGCAAAGCAAUACUGUUAAGUAGUGUUGUUCAUCAAAGUUAAUAUCUGUUUUUUUUUAAUUUUUCAUUUGUUCAUCAAAGCAAAUCUGUGAUAUGAUUGUUGUUGAUCAAAGCAAAUCUGUGAUGUAGUUUUAGUUCAGAGUGGUUUUUGUUCAUCAAAGCAAACCUGUGAUAUAGUUUUUUGUAUUCUUUAUUUAUAUAAGCAAAUCUGUGAUAUAAUUUGUGAUAUAGCUCAUCAAAGCAAGUCUGUGAUAUAGCUUUUGGUAUUUUUAUUUAUCAAAGCAAGUCUGUGAUAUAUUUGUUUUUAAUUUUUUUGUUCAUCAUUGCAUUGAUCUGUGAUAUUGUAUGUUUUUGUUGUUGUUUUUUUUGUUUACGAGGAAGGGUCAUUUUAGAGCAUAUGUGAUAUAAGGGUUUAUUUUAUUGUCCAUUAAAUCUAGAUAUACUUUAAAUUUCUCUAAAGCUUGUCCACUAUAGUUUUUGAUAGUUUUCUAGUUGAAGAUAUAUCUUAAUGAAAGCAUAACAGAGAGAGAGAGAGAGAGAGAGAGAGAGAGAGAGAGAGAGAGAGAGAGAACAAGUAAUAUAUAAACAUUUAUUUAGAAUAAAGAUUUGAAACUGUCAUCUUGUUGCUAUUUUGAAUUCAAUCCUCACUACAAGAUUUGAGAAAUACAAGGAUACUCAGUCGG